rnacentral:rRNA from 1 species
ACGCUAGCGGCAGGCCUAACACAUGCAAGUCGAGGGAGGAGCUUUCGGGCUUCGACCGGCGUACGGGUGCGUAACGCGUAUACAAUCUGCCUUUCACAUAGGGAUAGCCCGAAGAAAUUUGGAUUAAUACCUAAUGGUAUAUAGGGAUGGCAUCAUUUUUAUAUUAAAGCUGAGGCGGUGAAAGAUGAGUAUGCGUUCUAUUAGCUAGUUGGAGAGGUAACGGCUCCCCAAGGCUACGAUAGAUAGGGGUUCUGAGAGGGAUAUCCCCCACACUGGUACUGAGAUACGGACCAGACUCCUACGGGAGGCAGCAGUGAGGAAUAUUGGACAAUGGUCGGAAGACUGAUCCAGCCAUGCCGCGUGCAGGAAGACGGCCUUAUGGGUUGUAAACUGCUUUUGCAGGGGAAGAAUAAGGACUACGUGUAGUUUGAUGACGGUACUCUGCGAAUAAGCAUCGGCUAACUCCGUGCCAGCAGCCGCGGUAAUACGGAGGAUGCGAGCGUUAUCCGGAAUCAUUGGGUUUAAAGGGUCCGUAGGCGGGCUAAUAAGUCAGAGGUGAAAGCGCUCAGCUCAACUGAGCAACAGCCUUUGAAACUGUUAGUCUUGAAUGGUUGUGAAGUAGUUGGAAUGUGUAGUGUAGCGGUGAAAUGCUUAGAUAUUACACAGAACACCGAUAGCGAAGGCAUAUUACUAACAAUUAGUUGACGCUGAUGGACGAAAGCGUGGGGAGCGAACAGGAUUAGAUACCCUGGUAGUCCACGCUGUAAACGAUGGAUACUAGCUGUUUGGUUGCAAGACUUAGUGGCUAAGCGAAAGUGAUAAGUAUCCCACCUGGGGAGUACGCACGCAAGUGUGAAACUCAAAGGAAUUGACGGGGGCCCGCACAAGCGGUGGAGCAUGUGGUUUAAUUCGAUGAU